GCAACCUUUAACUUAUAAAAGGGCAAGUGGCACAAUUUCAGGGAACAAAUGGACUUUUUUCUUUUAAGCCAGCAUCUUCCCCACCACUCCCACACCUCCCUCCCUCCCUCCCAACCAAAAGUCAGUGGAGAAACAAAGCAUUGCCGCGGGCAGUCCUACUCUCGAGUGUCCCCUUGUGGCCAAACCUGGACAUCACUUCCGUAUUUUGCAAGCUGCGGCUCAGCUAAGAGGGCUGGUCUCGAACUCCUGACCUCAGGUGAUCCGCCCGCGUUGGCCUCCCAAAGUGCUGGGAUUACAGACCUGACCCACCAUGCCUGGCCUCAAGGAAAUAUCUUGAAAGAUCACAGACUGGGAAACAGGCAUGAGAAAGAAAAAAAGUAAGUAGACAUUUGGCUAGUAGGUGCCUAGACCACUUAACACUGAAGAUGAAAGACCGAAGGCUCUGAGUAAGAAUCAUUUGACCAGUAGCUCAGGUGAGUCAUAACCUGCACAGAACUAGGGCACACGUGUUGAAGCCAGGAAGUUGAGAGCGUCAGGCUUACUAAUUUGCAAGGACGGGGUGUUGCUUCCAGUAGGGUAUGUGAUCAAGAUUUCACGGCUCAUUUUUCUCUGCUUUUCCAACAGGUGCAAUCAAGUCAUCCAUGUACACAAGUGACUGCCCUGGCAGUUACAUCUGUUAGGAUUAAAUUUCCAUUUGUUCCAUUACUUUAUAUGAAGUGAUUUCUACUGUUGAGUCAGACAGAUCACUUCCUCUUAGACCUAGGGACUUUUUUUCAACAUUUUAAACAAUGUGUGUGUUUUUCAAAAUGUGUCCCAGCCAGGUCUGCAGGUCUUCCUGGGUUGAAUGGACUGUUUACAGAAAGGGAAGAUUCAGGGCCCAAGGUCAGGGUUACAGAAUUAUAUAAGGUUUCCUGUUUGGGCAGCUGGUCUAGCAGCACCUCAGGUUGGGGCAGACCGGGUCUUGUUGAGAGACAGCAUGCCCAGCAGGCUAGGGCGGGCGGACCGGUGCCAGGAGCAGGGAAGGACAUUUUUCUUUCUUUCUUUUUUUUUUUGUUGAGACCAAGUCUUGCUCUGUCACCCAGGCUGGAGUGCAGUGGUGCAAUCUCGGCUCACUGCAACCUCUGCCUCCUGGGCUCAAGCGAUUCUCCUGCCUCUCAGACUCUUGAGUAGCUGGGAUUACAGACACCCGCCACCACACCUGGCUAGUUUUUGUAUUUUUAGUAGAGAUGGGGUUUCACUAUUUGGCCAGGCUGGUCUUGAACUCCUGACCUCAUGAUCCUCCCGCCUUGGCCUCCCAAAGUGCUAGGAUUACAGGCUUGAGCCACCGAGCUCGGCCUGACAAUUUUCUUUUUAAUCUUUCAUCAUUCAGCUUUCAUUUCUUGUCGGCUGUCACUCUUCAGCAGUAUGUUCCUAUAUUCUCUGUUAGGAGACCCUUUUUUUUCCUGGCCAGACUGAGAGAAAGGAAGGAAUUAAGGGAUGGAAGAAUGACAAGGUCAGGCACUGUUGUCUGUCUGAUCCACAGAUGUAACCACAGCACAAGCGUGGCUCACAGUACUAGCAUGAUAAAUGCUUGUUACAUGAAGGUAUGAACAGGGAUGAGAAGGGACUUCCUGGAGAAAGAAAGGGACUAACAAUCAGGAAAGGGAGGUCAUUGGGGCAGGAGUAAAGUGGACACCUCAGCAAAGCCACUUGCUGUGACCUCUGAUGGUGCAGUGUCAUGUCUUGUCACCAGGGCCCCCUCGUGUUUGGGGUUGGCUAAGUGCAGUUAUGAUUGGCCAGUGUUUGACAGGGAUCCAGCGGGCCAAAUCCUAAUCUACUGGACUCUGACAUCAGCUAGUCCCUUGGGUCAUGCACCUGAUGGCUCCCAAUCUCCCCACUUGUCCUCACCCACAGGCCCUCGGCAAAAGGACAGUGGGAGGCACCCGUGACACUCACUGCCCUUUUCCUGUGCAGCUGUUUUUCUUCUUAGUACUUUUCACUCCUUGUUACUCUUUUUUUGUUGUUGUUCUUGCUCAGCCCACACAGAACUAGGAACCUUGUUAUUCUUUGACUGAUUUUUCUGUGCUCUGUCUGCUUGCACACAGAUGGAUAUCUGAGGAGCCAGGGAACUUUCUUUACCUCCUGGUAUCAUUUCAUGAGAAUUACUAGCAUCUGCACAAUGGGGCCUUGGAGAGAGGAAUAAAGGGAAAAAUCUGGAAUGGAACCACAUGACGCAACAGCCUACUCGGACUCCCUGCCCAGCUGCUGUAUGUCUGGGAAACAGAAUAAAUAGCACUUGAGCAUCCCUGA